rnacentral:tRNA from 1 species
GGCAUGGGUCAAAAAUUGAGGUGGGUUGACACCAGGCGUCUACUUGGCGUUGGAAGUGCCCGUGCCA